rnacentral:rRNA from 1 species
UCCUACGGGGGGCAGCAGUAGGGAAUCUUCCACAAUGGGCGAAAGCCUGAUGGAGCAACGCCGCGUGGGUGAAGAAGGUCUUCGGAUCGUAAAACCCUGUUGUUAGAGAAGAAAGUGCGUGAGAGUAACUGUUCACGUUUCGACGGUAUCUAACCAGAAAGCCACGGCUAACUACGUGCCAACAGCCGCGGUAAUACGUAGGAGGCAAGCGUUAUCCGGCUUUAUUGGGCGUAAAGGGAACGCAGGCGGUCUUUUAAGGCUGAUGUGAAAGCCUUCGGCUUAACCGGAGUAGUGCAUUGGAAACU